ACCUUUGUCUCCGGCCUGGAUUAAGGAUCCAGCCUUUCGCCUCCAUCCCUCUUGUCCCUCCUGAUCCUCCUGACCCUGUCUUUAAGAUCCCAGGAGCUGCGGUGAGGAGUGAGGCUGAGGGGCCCCUUUCAUCUGAUGCAGCGACUCCGCUUUCCUCCGGCGGCUCUGUCUAUGGCUGAGCUCUUUGAUCCUUUGAGAGAUGGUUUGACUUUUCCCGAGCAAAGAGCCUGCGUUGAAAAGCGGGGGUGGAAUUCAGUCCUCACAGAUAAUGAGGGGACAAGACCUAAUUGAACCGAGUAUUGCCGGGAAGGAAAAGGCAACGGGCCAAGCCUUUGACAGGGUGCGACACUGACUUUUAUCAUCGUUAUAGUCUUUAAAUCCUGGGAAACGAGUUGGCAACCCCAAAAUAAAGAAGUGUAAUGACGUCU
rnacentral:lncRNA from 1 species